AUUGCUUCUCAGCCUUUUGGCUAAGAUCAAGUGUUGUAAGUGAACCUUGAUUUUCAGAGUAGUUUUAAUUUUUUUUUAUUUUUUUUUUGCAGUUAGGCUUCAUCCAUUAGUAUUCAAGGAUAAUUUCGGGGAUUGUGCUCAAGAAUGACUCCUGACAUUCUCUCCCCUACCGUUGGGUGAAAACUAA